GANUUGCCAAUGGGCGAAGCCUGACGCAGCGACCCCGCGUGGGGGAUGAAGGCCUUCGGGUUGUCAACCCCUUUCAUGAGGGAAGAACACUGACCUAACCUCAGGAAGAAGCACCGGCUAACUCCGUGCCAGCAGCUGCGGUAAUACGGAGAGUGCGAACGUUGUUCGGAUUCACUGGGCGUAAAGGGCACGUAGGCGGCUUGGCAAAUCGGUCGUGGAAUCCCGACGCUUACCGUCGGAACGGCGGCCGAAAAUACCGAGCUCGAGGGCGUGAGGGGUCACUGGAACUCCUGGUGAGGCGGUGAAAUGCGUAGAUAUCAGGAGGAACGCCGGAGGCGAAAGCGAGUGACUGGCGCGUUCCUGACGCUGAGGUGCGAAAGCUAGGGGAGCAAACAGGAUUAGAUACCCUGGUAGUCCUAGCCGUAAACGAUGGUCACUGAGUGGGGGAGGGCUUGCCUUUCCCUGCUGCAGCUAACGCGUUAAGUGUCCCGCCUGGGGAGUACGGCCGCAAGGUUAAAACUCAAAGAAAUUGACGGA
rnacentral:rRNA from 1 species